rnacentral:tRNA from 6 species
AAUGAGGUGCCUGAUUAAAGGAUUAUCUUGAUAGGAUAAAUAAAGUAAUUUUAAAUUACCCUUAUUA